rnacentral:rRNA from 1 species
AUUGAACGCUGGCGGCAGGCCUAACACAUGCAAGUCGAGCGGAGCGGCGGACGGGUGAGUAAUGCCUAGGAAGCUGAGUGGUAGGGGGGGAAAAAGUCCGGAAACGGGCGCUAAUACCGCAUACUAUAAGAUGAGACUAGGUCGGGUUAGCUAGUUGGUGGGGUAAAGGACUACAAAGGGGAAGAUCAGUAACUGGUCUGGGAGGAGUAUCAGUCACAUGGGAACGGAGACACGGCCCAGACUCCUACGGGACGCAGCAGUGGGGAAUAGUGGACAAUGGGCGAAAGCCUAAUCCAGCCAUGCCGCGUGUGUGAAGAAGCUCGUCGGAUUGUAAAGCACUUUAAGUUGGGUGGCGUUACCAACAGAAUAAGCACCGGCUAACUUCGUGCCAGCAGCCGCGGUAAUUC